UUGGGUUGUAGGCAUUCUCUUCUUCUCACAGUUUGUAUUUUUCUUUGUUGCUGCAGAGACUGGUUAAUUUACUAGGCUUGGGUGCUGAUGUUUCAUGAAUGUUGAUUGCUUGGACAAAAGUUUCUUCAGUCACCGGAAUUAACUUUCUACGGUCUUCUCGUAUCUCCUUCAAUUGGUGGUAUUGAUUCCCGCCUGGAGUUAGCGACAAACGUGCUUUGGGUAACCUUCAAUCUCUCAGGAUUACCUAUUCCAUUAGCAACUGCUCAUGUUGAAAGCAUGAUCAUGACAACUUCUUUGAUUUUGUUGGAGUAAUGAUGAUUGAGAACUUGGAAACAUAGCUUUGGUCCCGGCAGCUCAGCCCCUAGGUGAAGGUUUAGUCACAGCUUUGGAAAUUUCGGCUAUGGGUACAAGAACUUUGGUAACGCUUGAGAAUCAUUGGCUAAAGACCAAUGACAACUUUGUCUCUCAACCGCUUUCAAGGCUUGGUUCGAAGAAGGUUUGCAAUUGAUUUCAAAGGAGUGGCUAUGACAUGAAUUUGGUAAACGAAGUAGAAGAACUUAUCAAAUUUUGAGUGUUUCUUGUUAGAUGGCUUGAACCAUAAAUGUAGGCCUCAUCAUUUAGCCCGCGGAUCCGAUGGACUUUUACCCGGCCCGGCCCGCGAGAAAACCCGCUUUUGUGGGUAAAGGGCCGGGCUUAGAUUAGAGGUGUGAAAUCUGGUCCGGCUCGGUCCGUAAAAACCCGCCAAAUAAUAAAAUAUUAUACACACAUAUUUUAU